UUUUUUUUUUUUUUACUUUUCUUUUCCUUUUCCUCUCCUUUUGUCAAAGUAUAAGUCCCUACCCAUUUUCUUGAAAUGAAGAGUUCAUCAAUUUUCCUUUUUGUUUGAAUUAAGCAAACACUUGAACAUAAUCAUGGUUUGUGUGGCAUUUUGCUUUUAUGGCAUUAGCAAGUUGAAAAUUUUAUAGGGAAUUUUAAUGAAAAACUUCCGGUAUUGUUCACUUUAACGAAAAAUCAUAUUUUCAAACUCAAAAGUCAAUCCUGAUACUAUUCACUUUACCUUUUAUUUUGUUCUUAUCGUUAAAACUCAAAGUUUUCAAACAUUUUUAAUUAGUUUUCCUAAUUUUUUAUAAGCACUUGAAAGAAGAAUCCAUCAUUUUAUCAUCUUUAUCCCUUGGCAUAGUCUUCAGUGCAACUUUCUUACGAAAAAGACUUACAUCAAACAGAUUCAUCGUCACUUGAUAUUUUGAUUUAAUAAAGCAUUGUUAUGUGUAACUUUUUAUCCACAUAACAUUGAAUUAUUAGAUCGGAAUGCCACAACAAUGAUGAAUUCGUUACAUAUAAAUUGCUCUCAUUCUUUAAGAAAUGUCAACAAUGAUACACAGUUUCGUCCCCUGUUUUACCUUCUAACUUAUUAAUUUUUCUUAUUAAUUUUUAAAAACAAAAUUUAAGUAUAUGAAAGUAAAAAAGAGAAAAGAAAUCACGAAAAUCAUUUUCUAAGAGCAUUUGCCUUCAACGAGGGUAGCAACCCAAUCAGCAAAUUAAAAAAAUAGCAACUGACAGUUAUCAAAUUGGUCUAGCAAUAUAUUUUAUUCAAAAUAUUGUUUAAUAAAAUGUUUGAAGAUAAAAUUUGGACCGACAAGAUAAGUUAAGCUUAAGAUAUUAAUAUUUUAAAGUGAGAAAUAAAGUUUGAAGAGUUGGUUGAAGAGUGAGCUAGAGUGACAAAUUUUUAAAGUAACGUAAAAGUGCCAAAUGAAAAAGCAGAUUAUGCUUUAAAAAAAAAAUUACUAUCUUCUUUGGAGAUGCUAAGUAAAAAUGUACGAGUCCACGGAUCACUGUCUAUAUUAUCUAGCAUAUGGUCGCAUCUUGAAUUCAUGUUUCAGAGACUCACAGUACUAAGUACUUAUGAAAUUGCUUCGGUACAUAUGUAAGGUUGACGCACUGUCCUAUAUAGCAUGCCAAUAGGCCAGCACUCUUCACCUAAAUUGCUGCCAGAGAUGUAGGCACAACACAAAUUGAAUUCAAGGAGUGUGUGAAUAGCAUUUUCCUACAAAUAUAACCCCUGUUUUCUGCACCAUAAAAAAUGAACCCAAUGCAAUGAAGAACAGGAGUAAUUGUGGCUUUUCUUUCCUUAGGCUUUUGGCUUUGCAGUCCUUAGACAGUAGAAUCUUUGCUAUAUGUGUCAAUUAUCCUUAUCAGUCUCUCUCUGCAUAGCUAACCUAGCCUUGAGUGCUCUUCAAGUGUUGGACUGCUCUCGAGAAGGACUUUUGUUGUUGCGGUAUUUCAAGUUAAUUCAUGCACUAUUUUGUGACAGAAUUAAAACGCAUGACGAUGACGGCAUGUGAUUGGAUUGAAAUAUACAAUAGUAUAGUAAAUCUUUCUCCUCCAAAACACUCAAUUCCAGUCAUAUAGUUGAGUUUAAGUCCCCUUUUUUGUGUCAGCAAGUGUUCUGUUUAAGUUUUGGAAGGGAAUUAAACUCUACUUGAAAUUGAGAAAAUUCAUGUACUGUUGUAUGAGAAAGUUAAAAUGCAUAGCAGUACGUGAUUAAAUUGAAAUAAUUUAGACGAACAUCUCAGUUGUAAUAAGUUUGUCUCAUCCAAAAUACUCAAUUUUGGUCUUAAAUCCCCUCUUUUUUAGUCAGCAAUUAUUCUGCUUAAUUAAGAUUUGGAUGAGAGUUAAACUCAAUUUCAACUGAUGAAUUUCACUCUCAAAAGUGAAGCAAGAACAAAACAAAUAGACCAGAUCGUUCAAUAAAUAUUAACUAUUCCAAGCUACCCUCCGUAAUAAAUCGAUGUGUCUUGUCUUCCGCGUGUUCACAUGUGGAUGGUAAUUGAUUUUCAAAGGAGGAAAAAAAGGACCACCAGAUGUGGCUUGGGGCCUUGGGUAUAGCAAGUUCAAAUUACAGUUCGGCUACUUAAUGUCUUUCUUCCUCGUAACAAAAUAGACGGUGUAAUCAGUUGUAUAUAUAUUAAAAGAUUACAACCGAGCUGAUAACUUAUUAGUCUGAAAGACUCGUCGUGAACAACAAAAUAUCUACAAACCCCUUAAUUGACACCAAAGAGUGUGCUAAACUCCGAUCACGAAGUCUUUCUCCUUUCCUCCAUGUCCUUAUAUGUAUGCAUUGAAUGAUAUACAUCUACAAGUUCGAAUUUCUCUCUGUAUUUAAAAACACAAAAUGUUUUAUUUUCUAGCCAAGUAUUGGAGAAGAACUUGCAUGAAAUAUGUUGCAAUGUGCUUAAGUUUUUUUCUACAUGUCAUUUCAUUAUUAUACCAGAAGGUCACAAUAGCGAUAAACGCGUUUCAUGCAAGUUAUUCCCAAUGUAAUGAGAUAUUGAGAUUAUAUAAUUUGAAAAGGACGUGAGAGAGCAAACCCCAAAUAUUAUAUACGCUGUGAACUUUUUGAUGGAAAAUCUGGAAAUAAUUAUGCAGAAAGCUUUAGGAGUUUCCAAGCAAGUACGCACAGAAGCUACUACUAUUACAACCUCUAUCUGCUUUCUGCACUGCUGUUAUUAAUUAAAAUUAUUAUUGGAGAUUUGGUUUGGUGAUGGUUUACUCUAAAGACAGACGUAGUCAGUAAUGGUCGCUGUCAUCUUAUAGGUGCAGGACCAUCGGACCAUAUGAUGGUCCUUCUCCUUCCUUCCUUUCCUAUUUUUUUCAGGUUUAGGCUUUUGGGGUAAUUGAGGACACUGAGGACUGAGGAGGGUCCCAAAAUUAGAUAAACUUUUGUCUUUGCGUUUAGAGUGGUCUCCAAGCAAUUUCCAUGUUUAGAGCUCAAGAGUAAAACCAUACUUAUGGUCUCUGAAUCUUGGUAAUGGUUUCAGUUUAAGAAACCGUACUACGAUCUUAUGAGUAUUGGCCCAAUCUUGGUUAGGUUUUUGUGUGAAUGAAGGCACAGUAUGGGCCAGGAAAUAAAAUUGAACCCAUUCUUUGAGAUCCAAAUGCACCUUUGCCAGUUAACACCCUACUGAGGAUAACGAAUUGUAAGGUUGUAGAUGAAUAUAUAUUAUGUGGUCUGAUGAGCUACCACACGGUUUAAGCCGAAAAACAGCGAUGCAUUGCAUGCCCACCAAGCAAGGACACAGUAGCGUCGUGUCACGUAACUCAGACUGACCCCCCAAUUUCAGAACCAAGAGUUUGAUGACAACUACAUUCCUACAUAAAACCAUCCCCACAUAAAACCAUCCCCAUAUUUUUUUUGCAUGCUAAUUCCUAUAUAUUAAGAUCGAGUGAGAUAUAUAUACAAAUAUAUAUAUAUGUAUAUUACCUAGAUCUGUACAUAGCCCAUAUCAUGACAAAUUAAUAAAUUAAUCAACUUACGUAGCAUGCUUCUUGAUCUCAUAAAUUCAUGAAUCAUAACCAAAUUAAUAUUAUCUUUAAGUGAAAAUUAUGCAUUUUUUUCUGGUCUGAGAGAUCGAUCAUUGAUGUGCCAACGUUGUUAACUUGUUGAUUUUCUAAGCUCACGAUCACGUAUUGUUGUUGAUUAGGUAUUUCAUGGUCGUGAUUUACGAUUCUAGCUAGCUGGUUAGUAUCAUCUGUAUUCUUCUUCUCUUAGUGAUUGAUAUAUGAUGGUUAUGGUUGAGGAAAAGAGGUAAGCCGUACUAUAGGAAUUGACAACUAAUUGUGUGAACAGGAUAAUUUCAUAGGAGGAAAAUGGUGUGAUUGAGAUUCAAGUGGCUCAGAUGGUUAGUUGUUGAGAACUUGAGAGCAUCUGUGUUGAUGCACAAAACUGGAGGGGUCUUGGAACAACGUAAAUUCGACCGUGAAUCUGCAAGAAAGUAAAUAACACAAGAUGUAUCGUGAUUCACCUCAAGGUUUGGGCUACGUUCAACACUGAUAUUGUAUUUCUGAGAGGAUUGUAAGGGAGAGAGUGUGAGGAUCCUCAUGGCCUAGCAAUUGGCCUCUGAGGAUGAGAGUGAGGCCUCCCCAAUUGUGAGGGUGAGAGGUCAUUUUAUAGAAUAAGGGCUCCUCACUUAUUACAUAUUUGCCCAUUCCUUUAUUACAUAAUUACAUUUGAGUCCUCCGAGUAUUUAUACGAGAUCUAAAUAUGGGGGCCCUAAGUAUGGUAUAAACAAUCUGUAUCCAAGGAUGGAAGUCUAGCAUACGUUCUCGACCUUAUGUUUGAAUGAAGAACCGUUACCUACCCAAAAACUUUAGAACUAAAUUGUUAAAAAUGCACAACAAUAUAUAGUACCGAUGUAUUACUCAAGCACUAUAAAACUGGUACUGAAGACUACACAUGCACUACAAACACGGUAAACAAAGAACCUUUGAAUGACAUCUUUCUGAGAAUCAUUUGAAGUUUUCUCAAUUGGCUUUUUCAAAUCCCUCUAUCAAAUUUUUGUACUUCAUUCCUAACAAAUUUUUACUAAGUUUCAUGGAACUUUAAAAUGUGUCUCAUCCAAACACACGAUUUUAAGAAUAUUUACAUUCUUUGCCAAUUAAUUUUGACUUUAAUAUUCGCAAUAUUCUAACAGUAUACAAUAAGGGUUUUUAAAAAAAAAAAAAUUCAUGCAAAACGGGGUAAUUUUUUUUUUCCUGUCCGUGAGUAGAUUUUGAGUUUAUGCUGCUUUUCUUAACAAAAUUUAUUGAUUCGAGCUUAGCCAAAACAAUAUGUUGCUAACUGUAGAACAAACCUCAUCAGGUGGGUAUUGUGCAUGCUCGCAGCUAGCUUAGAUAUAAAAGGGGCGCCCUGUCCCGCGCCAGUUUACGUAUAAACCAAUGUAAUCUAUAAGAGGCAGCAAAGAUUUUUAUCUGACGAUGUAUUGGUGAAAAGGAAUUGGAAACGGACAAGAAUUAACAAAAAUCUUGUGAGACGACUGAAUAAAUGAGUAUAAAGAAAUUGCCUUCAUAUAUUCUUCAGAUUAAGUAAUCAUUGCUUGCACCGUUUGACCUGAUCAUCAGUGUGAGAAAAAGAAUAGGAGAGAGAGAGAGAGAACGAAAUAUAAAGAUGAUCAAGCAAAACGAUUGUGUAAAAUAUAUAUGAAUGGAUAUAUAAAAAUUAGAAGUACAUUAAUUUGUAAAGGUAUUGCUGAAAGAGAGAAAUGAAAAUAUCAGAAUUUGAAGAGUAAAAUCGAGGGUGAUAGCAGGUGCGGCCCUGUGGGGAACUAAGAGAGAGAGAGAGGCGCUGUGUUACUGUCUGUUGCCUGUGCCAGCAUUUGAUGAGUUUUGGCAAGGCUAACUGGCUAAGGAUGGGAGACGCUUCCAUAUGCAAAUAGGCUAUCCACAUACAUUACCAUUCCAUACCCGUCUCUUCAUAUAUCUCUGCACAGUUUUCUAGAUUUAAUUUAUCUAAGUAUUAAUUUAUUCUUCAAACUAUUUACUUUUGAAUCUAUAUAUCGAUGGAAGUUGAAGUUUCACUUUGCUGUCGAGCAUAUAAUUAGACUGCUAUAGGAUCUUUUCGGACAGAACUUUCCCAACCAUUUUUUUUACUUUUGUGGAGUCCGAGGACCCGAUAGGCUCCUUAAGACAUUUCUACCAAUUGGCAAAAUGAGAAACUUUCGAUGUGAGGCCUUUCUACGUCCUCACAUAUCAGUUAGAUUCAGUUGUAAACGCUCAUAGUUUAAACACAAAAUUGGAUCUCUUCUAGCUAUUGCCGGAUUGAGAAGAUGAUUACUUAAGAUUGUAUUAUAAAAUAGAAAAGGAUUAAGAUCUUAUUAUUUAUUGGUGGUGACUUCUGGUGAGAGAAUAAUUGAUACUUAGAAGAUUAACAGUGCACAGAGGGCACAGAGGAUUAACAGUGAUGAGAAUAGAUACUUGAACCUCUAAAACCCUAUCUAAGACCCCACACACGCACACAACACGUACACGGACAUGAUAAUAUAGUUCUUUACGUGCGGUAAAAAUUUACAUGUUGUGAGUUGUUUGUAUGUAUUUGGUGAAGUUUUUUUAUCAAGUGGUAUAAAAUAGUGGGGGGUGAAAACUGCAGUAAUGAAAUAAAUAGGGUUUGUCAUACAUACUGUACAGGAGCGGCAUUGCGAGCAGUAGCAUUCAGCACCUCCUUUGUAUUUGUCAUUUUCUAGCCGCAGCUUGUUUAUCUAUCUAUCUAUCUGAGUCCUCUUGACAUGAAGUCACGUGAAUGCCUUUCAGCCUUCAGGACCCUCUCGAUCUCUCUCUCCUCUUCUGGUUCUUGCCCUGAAUAUCUCAGGUCCUUUUGAUCAGCCUUUAGCCUAUCUCAUAUUGUCCUCCUUUGCUGGACACUCGACACACAACACCCUCCCCUCUGUCCCUCUCUAUAUCUCUCUCCUUUCUUUCUCCAGAUCUCUCUCCCUCCUAUAUGAUGACUCCAGUCUAUCUGAACCCACAAUCCUCUCCUUUCUUCCAUGUCGAGCAAGCAAACGAUCAGGAUCAACGCCUGAAACUUUUUAUAUCAUCGUCAUAUCAUAAUCAAGCUGCAGCUUCAUCAUGUUCUUCUCUGAUCUCAUCAUUUCCUACUUUCCUUGAUUCCUUUGAAGAUCAAAGAGCUGGGAGUUCUACUACUACUACUCAUGGUCAUGGUCAAGAUCACUCACUUCAAUAUCAUCACAAGGUAAGAAAACCUAUAUAGCUACGUACAUAUUUAUAAAUUUAACUAUCUUCGUGUUUAAUUUACUUUUAAUUGAAAUUUUAGUACUUGAUCUUAACUAUUUUCAAAUCUUCCCCUAAUUGACUCUUCGCUCUUUAACAAGUCCAUGAUCAACUUGUAAUACCCUAGUAUUUUUGUGAUCUUGUGAUCUCAUAAUUAAUUAAUUUUGAUGGGUUAUCUCGGAUAAAACAAAUGAAUAUUGCUACCAUCUAUAUAUAAGUAAGAUUGAUCUUUUGUCCAAUACUCCAAAUAAAAAAGGCACGUUUGUUCUCUAAGUUUAGUGUUUUAUAUUAUUGUAUGAUUGUUCACAUGUACGGCACACACCGACAGAACUCAAUUGCUAAUCAAUUAGUAAGUAAAUAAAGUACUUUGUAUUAUUAUUUUUGUGAACUCAAAUUGUCUUUCAUUUUAUCUCAGACUGAUAAUCACACGUGGGAUUGUGGAACAAGUACUCAUGAUCAAGCAUCCUCGCCAUCUUCUUUAGUUCAGCCUCAUGUGGUGGACGUUAUAAGCACCAAGGACCUUAGAUUAAUGUCAGCAUAUGCUGAUCAUGAAAGGGAGAUCAAUGGUAGAGGAGGAGAGGUGGGUAAAAGUAAUAAUAAUAUUAGGCCAAGGGCAGUAAAAUGGAUGUCCUCCAAGAUGAGGUUGAUGCAAAAGAUGACCAACCCGGAUCUCGCGCUGGCCGGUACCACUAAAAAUUAUGUACUUGCAGCUGCUGAGAUUACUGAGCAUAAAUUCCAAGUUGUACAGUAUCAAGAAAACAGUGAUGAAACCAGCUUUUCCAGAAAUAGCAACAAUACUACUCCAGAUGUUAGGGUUUGUUCUGAUUGUAACACCAGCACAACCCCACUUUGGAGAAGCGGCCCUCGCGGUCCCAAGGUAAAUUAAAUAAUGUACUUACUGUCUAUAAAAUAUUCUAUAUUGUAAGACUGUAAAUCUAGACCGCACAUUCUCAUAUAUAUUAAACGUGGCUGAUAGUUCAAAAUUAUAGUCUGACAGUAAGUAACAAGGCAAAUAUAUGUUGGGUAGAUAUAAUAUGUUCAUGAAUCAAGUAUUCAGCUGUGUGCAUAUGUGUGUUGUUGCAGUCACUAUGCAAUGCAUGUGGAAUCCGACAGAGGAAAGCUAGAAGAGCCAUGGCAGAGGCUGCGGCUGCUGCUGCAAAUGGGUUUGUAGUCGGCGCCACUGACACUUCAUCUGCCAAGGGUAAGGUGGCCAACAAGGAGAAGAAACCGCGCGGAAGCCAUAGUACUAAUGUUACACGAUGCAAGAACAAGAGCAAGCUCAUUGUCACCGACAAUGCAUCAGUAUCUCCCAACAACAAAAUUAAUAGUAAUAAUAAUAAGAUUUGUUUCAAAGGUUUGGGUUUUCAACGAGUGUUUCCUCAGGAUGUUGCUGAAGCUGCAAUCCUCCUAAUGGAGCUGUCUUGUGGCCUAAUCAAUCACUCUUAAUUUUCAUAUUCUAUUACAUUUUUGUUCUCCCUCAUCUUUUAAUAUCGAGGAUUUUGUUUUGUUUUCGUUCCUUUUCUGUGGUUUUGCUAGAGUGUAGGUUGGAGUAAUAAAACCAAAGAGUUACUUGAAGAACAUUAAUUUGCUGAAAUUGUAACUGUAAUUUAUUUUACGCAUUGGUAAACUGUCAGCACUUGGUGCGAUGGCAAGUGCCUUCGCCCAUGAGCAGUAGGUCUCGGGUUCGAGACUUGGGAGCAGCCUCUCCAUAAAUGGGGGUAAGGCUAGCCGAUUCACCUCUCCCAGACCCUGCGUAAAGCGGGAGCCUUGUGCACUGGGUACGACCUUUUAUUGGUAAACUGUCAGCUAUUGAUUAAUGGUGGAAAUUAGCAUAUUUGAACGAGUAGUCAAGUUAAUUAGAGCAUUGAGUCUCUACCUUAAUCCAAGUUUGAAUAUGGUUUUUUUUUUAUCAAUUUAGAUUAGAUUAGUAUACCACUUCUCUUAAAAACUAAUGACAUGUUACUUACAGGAAUGAAAUGAAUGAAAAUCAUUUUGGAUUUUUGAGUUUCAUGUGCUUACUAUUGCAUAUAGAAUAAAAAAAAUUAUUUCAUAAUCCAAUACUAAAAAAGUAGAAAACACUCCUUGCUUCUUCAAAUCCUAAAUUUCCAAUUCUUGACUUCUCUCAUUCCUAAUAAGUAAAUAUUGUCAUAUCACUAUUCUAAAAAUCCCUGCCUAGCGCCACCUAGUCCCAGCUUAGGCACUAGGCGGUUGGUCACCGUCCCGAUUAAUGCUUAGGCGUUUGAAAAUUUAGAAAUUGUGAGGCGCCCGCCUAGACUGCCUAGGCACCCACCUAGCCCGCCUUGACACGCCUAGGUUGCGACUCAUUUAAACAGAAAAUAGAUAACUUUCAUUUUGCAUUAUUUUUUUUAAUAAAUUGUAAGAGAGUUGUUGAAUACUUAAAUGAAUACACAUUAUAUGUUUGUUCCCUAUGUUUUCAUUAUGUUUCAAUAUUUCAUACUAUAUAUGUCAUUCUAUUUUAUAAUUUAUGAUGUAAUUAUAUAUAUUUUAAGUAUAAACAUACACUUAUUUACAGAAAAUAUAAUAGAUUUACUUAAAUCCGUCUAGUCUGCCUAAGCGCCCACCUAGGCGCUAGACCCCAGCUCACCGCUCGACUAGCGCCUAAUGUAUUUUAGAACCAAGGUCAUUUGUAAUGGGCGGUGCUUAUUGAAGAUAAGAGAGUUAGAAAAGUAGGUCUAAAAGAAGUUUAUGAAAUUGAGCUCAUGAGUGGAUGUCAUCAAAUGAAAUGAAACCUCUCGGCCCAUGGUUCAUGUAAUCAAAGACGGUCAAAGAUGAUUCCACGGUAAUUAAGGGGCGCACAAAUGUUUCUGAGUCUUUCUAACACACAUAAUUUCACCACCAAUUGAUCCCUCUUUUCAAUUAAAAAAAAAAAAAAACUGAGCCUAAAACAUUACGACAGUGACCUCCCUUCCCUCGUACCAAUUGUAAGAAUUCCAAGGAGUUUACAAAUGCACCUACCACUUGACUAAAACUAACUGCACAUUCAUCAAUCUUAUGUUGAAAAUUAGAUCUUGGAUGUAACUUUCACAUUUAGUCGAUACAUACUUUAUUAUCGUAAGGGGAGUAAGUUUUAUUCAAGCAGCUGUAGAAAGUUCGCAACAAUACAAGUUACAUAGAUGAUGUGUAUGUAUUUAUCAACAAUUGGGUAAUUGUGUCUAGUCUCAAAUUUGAAUAAGUAAUUGAGUUAAAAUCGUUUGACUAUCAUACCAUCACUGAUAUUAAAUAUAGUUAUAAUUUGAGUAAUUGUAUAAUUGUAACUGUCAUACAGUUAUUUUGAGUUGACCGUUCAACAAAAUAGAGUAAAAAAUUUUAAAAUUAAAAUUUUCCCUUUUGUGUUUUAUUAUAUCCCCUUUAGAGCUUCCUACCAUAUAACGAGGAUGUUGAAACAAUGUCCUUUUUAGUCAGACUAUUUAGUAUUAUAGUUUAAUGGUAUUUCUCUUCACUUCUAAGUGAGAAGUAUUAAGUUCAAUUCUCGUCAAAUGCGAAGUUAAACCACAUUAUUAUGUUAAGUCUAUUACAAGAUUUAGCCCACUUUCCCACCCGUUUUAAUGUAAAUACUAUCAUUUGUUAAAAAUAAAAAUAAAAAAGUUUAGAUUCCAACGAUGCCAUUACAUGCAAAAAAAAAAAAUUUCCUUUUUUUCUUCAUUUCCAAAAUUGCAAAUCCUUUUUAUUUCUAUAUUGUGAUAAAAUUGUCGAUACCAAGCAUUUUCCACGCAUGCCACCGCAACCUAAUUUUUACUCUGAAAUGUACAGUGUGGAUUCCUACUUCCCUCCCACUCCCCGGGGAUUAAAAACUAGAAAGGUUAAGACCAAGUACUAGAUUGUCAGCCACAGACAUCUUUCUCCUCUCAAGGAUGAUCCACUGUUUUUUUUACCCAAAUUUACCACACCAACCCCCACGCCACCAAAUACAGUUGGCCCCACCAAAAUGUAAAUCUGGCAAUUAAUCACAAAUUUGGAAUUGGAAUAUUCAACCAAAUUUCCGUUGCCACAAAUGUUCCAUCAUUGUUCAUUUGCUUAGACCCAAGUGUGUUGGAAAAGUGUUGGAAAAAUGUUGGGUGCAACUGUGUUACACAUAAAAGUUAAAAAAGUGAUAAAUACAGAAAAAUAUAUUACAUGAUUAUACUUAAAUUUUGAGAUUUUAUUGUUAGACUGACGAUCUAAUCCUAAUCUUAGAUUAAUUUUCAAAUUUUGUUCUUAUUGUGUGUGGGGUGAUAAAGGAAGAUAAGCCUAAUGUGAUAGAGAAUCUGCCAACAAAUUACAGAAAGAUUCCCAGAUUUUCAACUCCAAAUCCAGCAGAUAUUCAUCAAAAACUCCAUUGGUUGGUGGGUGUUUUUUCUCCCUCAAUACUAUUGGAGAAACCCAUUCAUUCAGAUCCAUUGAAAAUCAAUCUCCUUUCCUCCAAUCCCUUCCAUACGUUGAUGAUUUUAUGAACCAUAUUACCCUCCAAAAUAAUCCUGUCCUUUUCUCCGUAGGUGCCCAGUCACCCACCACCCACCACCCACCACCACCACCACCACCAGAUCUUGAAACUCAUCACAUUUUUUCCAUAAAUUAAUUAUAUUAAAUAUUCAUAUAUUUAUAUAUAGACAAAAGCCGCCACUGAUUUCACUUGUCAAAAACAAACCCACAUCCACCCACUUGUUUUCUCACUCCCUCCAAUAAUAACAGAGAAAGAGAAAAAGCAACAACCUUUGGAGGAAAAAUUCAUAUUUUUACAAGUUAUCUCACCAACCCAGUCUGCAUUUCUAUUUUCUGCUUUCUGGGUUUUUUUCAAACCAGUCGUUUUCAGCUUCCAUGGAGCGCGCGAGGCGGCUGGCGAACCGGGCUUUCGUGAAGCGCUUGGUCUCGGAGGCGAAGCAGUUCCGCCAGAACGAGAGCUCUGUUCUGGGCUCCUCCACCUCCCCUGUUCUCUACGCGCCGUCGAGGUACGUCUCCUCACUCUCCCCAUGCUCCUUGACGCGCUCGUGUCCCAGAUCAGACUCGCUUCUCUCGAGAAACGCGUCCCACAAUGCCGGGUUCCAAACACGGUCGAUUUCCGUGGACGCAUUGAAAAACAGCGACACUUUUCCCCGCCGCCAUAACUCCGCCACGCCGGAGGAGCAGACCAAAAUGGCGGAGUUAUGCGGGUUCGAUGCCCUUGAUUCGCUGAUCGACGCCACCGUGCCCAAAUCGAUUCGACUCGAAUCGAUGAAGUUUCAGAAAUUCGAUGAGGGGUUGACAGAGAGCCAGAUGAUUGAACACAUGAAGAAGUUGGCCUCCAAAAACAAGAUUUUCAAGAGUUUUAUCGGGAUGGGAUAUUACAACACUUAUGUCCCACCUGUAAUUUUGAGGAAUAUUAUGGAAAAUCCAGCUUGGUACACUCAGUACACUCCUUACCAGGCUGAGAUUUCCCAGGGGAGGUUGGAAUCUCUGCUCAAUUUCCAAACUUUGAUCACUGACCUCACCGGCCUUCCCAUGUCGAAUGCAUCACUGCUGGACGAGGGGACCGCGGCCGCGGAGGCAAUGGCGAUGUGUAACAACAUCCAAAAGGGAAAGAAGAAGACUUUUGUCAUUGCCAACAACUGCCACCCCCAGACCAUUGAUAUUUGCAAGACUAGAGCUGAUGGUUUCGAUCUUAAGGUUGUUACCGCCGAUCUAAAGGAUGUUGAUUACAGUUCGGGUGAUGUUUGUGGUGUGCUUGUUCAGUAUCCGGGGACUGAGGGCGAGGUUUUGGACUAUGGGGAGUUUAUUAAGAAUGCUCAUGCCAAUGGGGUUAAGGUUGUGAUGGCAUCUGAUCUGUUGGCGUUGACAGUGUUGAAGCCGCCUGGUGAGUUUGGGGCGGAUAUUGUUGUUGGUUCUGCGCAGAGGUUUGGUGUUCCGAUGGGGUAUGGAGGUCCUCAUGCGGCUUUCCUCGCCACCUCACAAGAGUACAAGAGGAUGAUGCCAGGGAGAAUUAUCGGUGUUAGUGUUGACUCCUCAGGGAAGCCUGCGUUGCGUAUGGCGAUGCAGACAAGGGAGCAGCAUAUCCGGAGGGACAAGGCUACCAGCAACAUUUGC
rnacentral:lncRNA from 1 species